UUUAAAUUUAUUUUCACUCUUAGAUUUUGCAUCUAGUAUCAGACUCAUUUUUUGCCUUACGAUCAAAGGUUGAACCACAAAAUGGCAGAAACUAGACUCCCACCAGGUUGCAAAAGGCAAAAACUCUGGUAGAAUAACUUUGAAGAUGUUGAACCGACUUCAAAAUAUGCUCUACAAAUCAAAUGCAAGUUAUGUCCAGAUGUCGUCUCUAACAGAAUUGCUAGACCAAAUGCUUCUGCAACUGGCAUAAAGUCACACCUCAAGCGCAAACAUAAAACUGUGUAUUAUGAAGUUUUGCGGCAGGAAGAAGAAAUGAAGUCUCAACAAGCCAUUUCUGGGGAAAAACUUGAGUUUUUGACAUCAAUAGGAGGGACUGGAGCUGGUAGUUACUUUCAACUGCGCAGGAAAUUCAAAAAGCCAACACAUUUUCUAAAGCUGAAGUCACAAGAUCCUAUGCAAUUAAGAUUUGACUAUGAAGUGUGUCUAGGCCUUGCAAACUCAAAUGUUUCAUUUCACUUUAUGGAACUCCCAUCGAUUCAACAAAUGUUUCAAGCAAUUUGUCCACAGGUAUAUUAGAGUUCUAUUCCAAUAUUUAUGCUAACAACUACCCGAGUAAAGUAAGCUUCAAAUA